UACAGAGGUCUCGAGCGUUAGGCGGAAUCACUGGGCUUAAAGCGUGUGUAGGCGGAUCGUUAAGUACCUUGUGAAAUCCCACGGCUUAACCGUGGAACUGCUUGGUAUACUGGCGGUCUUGAGCCAGCUAGGGGCUACCGGAACAAAUGGUGGAGCGGUGAAAUGCGUAGAGAUCGGGAGGAACACCAGCGGCGAAGGCGGCGACCUGGACAAGCACUGACACUCAACUACGAAAGCGUGGGGAGCAAACAGG
rnacentral:rRNA from 1 species